UCAUUCUAGGUCUUUCUCAUACUGCACAGCGGAGGCACCCGGACUCGAAUGACGUUUCCGAACGCAGCCUUGAUGUUUAGCUGUUCAUAACUCUAAACAUUUAACGCGAUUGAAGAUGAAACGAGAUAAAAUUCACCUUCGCUACUGCAUGCUUUAUUUCUUUAAUCGAGGUGAAACUGUUGAAACGACUAAGAGAUUGAUUUGUGAGACCUAUGGAACAAAUGCUGUAUCCACUGCUGCCUGUGCCAAAUGGUUCAAAAAGUUUAAAAACGGUGAUUACAAUGUCAACGAUAAGCCACGUUCUAGUCCUCCGAGCGAGAUGGAGAAUAACAAACUGGAGGUAUCGGUCAAUGAAAACUCGACCCAUUAACAUCAAAGGAGCUUGCGAGGCGACCUGAAGUUGACUAAUCAACUGUAUCAUCAUCACAACAGCUUCAGUAUCAACAUCUGAAAACAAUGGGAAAGAUUCAGAAGAAUUCAGAAGAGAAUAGCUUUCCCGUUAACUCUGUGCAAAGGCGAUUGUGAAUCAGUUUGCCAUUUGUUGCUCCUUGCUUGCUAGGAGGCACAAAAAACUUUUUGUGGCGAAUAGUUAUAGACAACAAGAGAUAUCCACAAGAUGCAACAUCUACAAUCAUAAGGUUUUCCUGUGUAUCUAAUGGGACUACGAAGGAAUGCUUCACUAUAAGCUAUUACUACCAAGGGAAAAAUGUUUUCAAAUAGCCACAAAUCGGCACAGAGUUAUUCUGCUUCAUGACAAUGUCAAGUCACAUGUUGUAAUUGAAGAAAUAGAGUUAGAUUGGCAAGUCCUGCCACAACUAAUGUAUCUUUCAGACAUCUCUGUCCGAUUUUCAUCUAUUUAGACCGAUACAGUGCAAUCUAUCUGAUGUAUAGUUGCAAAAUGUUGAGACAAUGUGAAUGAAUCGAUGAAUAAAUUGUAAAAAAAAGUAAUUUAACCCUGAAAAAAGUAAUUUUACCAGUAGAGUAUCAAUGGUAACAACCAAUAUUUUGGUCAAAAUAUUGUCAUCUCGUUGUUAUUAAUAAAUAAAGAUGGCUUUGACAUACAAAUUUUUUGCAAGCACCUAAUAUGUUUGUGGAAAUUACAACUUCUUGAAUUUUGCUUCUUCUCAUCGAGCAAAGGUAUUUUUUCUUUGUACAAUGUGAUAUUUAUGCAUAUAUUUCUUGAUAUUCAAUUUUACUCGAUCGAGCUGGUUUCCACUUGGAAGACAUCACAGGGAAAGUAUAAAUACUUCAACUUUCUAACUUCUUAUAAAUUUUUAUUUCGAUAAAUUUACAUAUAUUAAUGUAUGCACACUUUUAAUCAAAAACAUUUUAGCGAUGUAAUACAAUGCAUGAGUAAACCAUGAAGAAAAGAUCUUCCAAAAUUAUACAAUUUACAAAAGUAGAAAAUCUAUUAGGAAUUUCUUACAGUCACAGUCAAGAUAUUGGGUGGAUACUAGGCUAGUUUGUAAAUAGCACCAGUAUUCUUAAUGCUGUGUAGCAUUGAACAUUCAAUAUGAUAGGCUUGUAAAAUAUAUGUAUCAACAAUUUGUAUAACUCCUCCCGCGCAUUUUAGAUGCAGAUUUAAACUUUCUGUGAAGAUCAAACUUAUGCUUUAACAUACUUAUUAGGCUCCUAUCACAAAUUUAUAAUGUAUAAAUUCGUUUUAACCUUUUAUGUUUUAAACCUUAUCUUUUAACCUUAUGUUUUAAAAUGAUGCUAAUUUACUGAUAAUAAAAGAUAUACAUACACA